CCUCCGGCGUGAAGAUUGGAUUUGGGUUGGGACUGGGAAGUCUCGCUAAAGGGUGAAUCAUGUUUAAGAAGGUCAACAAGAUUGAGCACAAGAGGAAUAAGACAGAAAAACCAAAAAGCUUAAUCCAUGGAUUCCACGCAUGUUCAACCACAAAUGCUUUGUCACCUUCCUUACUGGCUGCUAUAGUUGCCUCUGGAAAUUCAGACAAUGGGAAAAAACUAAAGUUGGAUUUUGUUGCUGCACUUGGGUACAGACUGAUAAGGAGCUGGACCACAUUUUCUCAGAUGUGGGGAGCAUAGGCUGACCGCUGGCCCCAUGAGGGCUCUUUACGGUCUCCAGGACUGGGGAUGCUAGGGCUCCAUUUCUUCCAUAAAAAGCAAUUAUUUUGCCCGUGCCUGGUAAUUUCAUUUGUCUUGUCUCUGAUGUUGCUGUUCCUGUGGAUAGAAACAUCCAGUGAAUACUUUAACUUUGACUGUUACUUGGAUUUUUGUUGCUUUGGGAAAGGAUUGAACUAUACCUGCACUUGUGUCAUAAGAUCCUGAUUCUGCUAGUGAUUCUUCUGUGUGUCAUUUU
rnacentral:sRNA from 1 species